rnacentral:rRNA from 2 species
UACGGAGGGUGCGAGCGUUGUUCGGAAUCACUGGGCGUAAAGCGCGUGUAGGCGGCCCAUUAAGUCUGAUGUGAAAGCCCGGGGCUCACCCCCGGAAGUGCAUUGGAAACUGAUGGGCUGGAGUCCCGGAGAGGAGGGUGGAAUUCCUGGUGUAGCGGUGAAAUGCGUAGAUAUCAGGAGGAACACCGGUGGCGAAGGCGGCCCUCUGGACGGUGACUGACGCUGAGACGCGAAAGCGUGGGGAGCAAACAGG